AGCGCCGGGAAGAUGAGCACGGAAGGUGGUGGCCGUCGCUGCCAGGCACAAGUGUCCCGCCGCAUCUCCUUCAGCGCGAGCCACCGAUUGUACAGUAAAUUUCUAAGUGAUGAAGAAAACUUGAAACUGUUUGGGAAAUGCAACAAUCCAAAUGGCCAUGGGCACAAUUAUAAAGGAGGCGAUUAUGCAGCCCCUUGAUCAUAAGAAUCUGGAUAUGGAUGUGCCAUACUUUGCAGAUGUGGUGAGCACGACUGAAAAUGUAGCUGUUUAUAUCUGGGACAACCUCCAGAAAGUUCUUCCUGUAGGAGUUCUUUAUAAAGUAAAAGUAUACGAAACUGACAAUAAUAUUGUGGUUUAUAAAGGAGAAUAGCUAUUGGGGUUAGCAUUGCACAAAGCCCAGUUUCUUUCUGUGUUUGAAAAAGAUUUUGAUCCCCUUGGAAUAUUAAGAGGUCAACACGUGAUUGUUGUACGUACACAUUGUGCUCUGGAGUGCCUAUUUAUUGAAAUCAUUGUAAGACCUGUUAUAAAUUUAAGUCUAUUUAAAACUAAACUUGUAAUAUACAUCCUGAAAAUCAUUUAGAGAGUCUUUUAUUUAUAAAUUAAAAAUCACUUCAUUUUCACAAAA
rnacentral:lncRNA from 1 species